ACAGUGGUGGUCCAGUGGUAGAAUUCUCACUUUCCAUUGGGAGACCUGGGUUCGAUUCCCAGCCAAUGUA
rnacentral:tRNA from 1 species